GGAUGCGAUCAUACCAGCACUAAAGCACCGGAUCCCAUUAGAACUCCGAAGUGAAGCGUGCUUGGGUGAGAGUAGUACUAGGAUGGGUGACCUCCUGGGAAGUCCUUGUGUUGCAUUCC
rnacentral:rRNA from 2 species